AAUUAGUACCAUGCGAUGACAACGGUGAAUUAAUUCGUCAAAAGUACAAGGAGACCAUAGGCGACAACCAAGCCAUUCGGCAUAGCCGAAAAACUAGACGAACAACAACAACAACAACAACGACGCUAUAAGAUUUUCCAAGUUUCUAGUUCUGAUGUCGGAAGACGUUUGCUGCUCACCGACAAAAAUCAGGCCAAAAAUUGCUAUGCCCAAUGGCCAUUAAAGACCAAGAGAUCACCCUAGGGACCAAAUCGCUGGAAUUGGAUAGUUGGGAUAGCUCGUCUGGCCAAAUCCAAAUAUGAGUUUACUCUUGUCAAGUUCUGAGAGCUCAGUCAGUUAUGUUAGACAACCUUCACAUCCCAUCCAGAAGAACCAAGGGGCAACUGAUGUGGCCGAGCAGGCACAAAGACACAGAUUCAAUCUAUUUAUCUUACAAUGUAAAAAUUGUUGUCAAUUAAAAGCCUUAAUUCUU